rnacentral:rRNA from 1 species
GACGUAGGGGGCGAGCGUUGUCCGGAAUCAUUGGGCGUAAAGAGCGCGUAGGCGGCCCGGAAAGUGGGGUGUGAAAACCCGAGGCUCAACCUCGGGCGUGCACUCCAAACUCCCGGGCUCGAGGCAGGUAGGGGAGAUCGGAAUUCCUGGUGUAGCGGUGAAAUGCGCAGAUAAUCAGGAGGAACACCGGUGGCGAAGGCGGAUCUCUGGGCCUGAUCUGACGCUGGAGGCGCGAAAGCUAGGGGAGCGAACAGG